GAACAACUGACAGUUUCAUACAUAUCAGAAAGACUUUGAUCAGACAUCAGUUCAUUGCAGAGUUUGAUGGGAAAUAUGAUUGUCUGGUGUUUAUUUUUUGUAUUUGCUAUUAAUGGAGUUUGGAGUGAGAUCAAACUGGACCAGUCUCCCUCUGAGGUGAAAAGACCUGGAGAGACAGUGAAGAUGUCAUUUAUCAUAUCUGGUUAUAGCAUGACAAGCAAGAAUAUUCACUGGAUCCGACAGAGACCAGAAGAAGCUCUGGAGUGGAUUGGGAGAAUAAGCCCAUAUAGAAACACUCCGAGCUAUGCCAGCUCCUUUCAGAGCCGUUUCAGUUUUACUCAAGAUGUUCCCAGCAGCACUCAGUACCUCGAGGUCCAGAGCCUGACAGCAGCAGAUUCUGCCGUUUACUUCUGUGCUCGACAGACACAGUGACUGAAGACAGUGGAGCAGCUGCACAAAAACCUCCACAGAUAUGUAUAGUGAUCAUAAUAACAUCUGGGUUUUCUAAUCACAUGUGUUUAUAUUUUAGACAAAUUAAAUAUAUUAUAACACA